AGCAUUACUGCUUGCAGUAGAUGGCGACCGGCGGACGGGUGCGUAACGCGUAUGCAACCUACCUUAUACAGGGAGAUAGCCCAGAGAAAUUUGGAUUAAUAUCCCAUAAUAUCAUAAAGCUACAUGGUUUAAUGAUUAAAGAUUUAUCGGUAUAAGAUGGGCAUGCGUAUGAUUAGCUAGUUGGUGAGGUAAUGGCUCACCAAGGCUACGAUCAUUAGGGGGCCUGAGAGGGUGAACCCCCACACUGGUACUGAGACACGGACCAGACUCCUACGGGAGGCAGCAGUGAGGAAUAUUGGGCAAUGGAGGCAACUCUGACCCAGCCAUGCCGCGUGUAGGAAGAAGGCGUUCUGCGUCGUAAACUACUUUUAUAUAGGAAUAAACCUCUCUACGUGUAGAGGGCUGAAUGUACUAUACGAAUAAGCACCGGCUAACUCCGUGCCAGCAGCCGCGGUAAUACGGAGGGUGCAAGCGUUAUCCGGAUUCAUUGGGUUUAAAGGGUCCGUAGGCGGCCUUAUAAGUCAGU
rnacentral:rRNA from 1 species